GCCCGCCUAGCUCAAUCGGAUAGAGCGUCAGACUUUUAUUCCAAAUAAUCGUCAAAUCUGAAGGCUGCGAGUUCAACCCUCGCGGUGGGCU